CUCCACAUCUGUACUAAAGAAGAGGUUGUUGCCCCUACACUGCUUCACAACAUCCUCAAGGCCUGGCUCAUAAAGGGGGAGCUGAUUGCUAUUCCAGGCACUGAUACGAGGAAUAGAAAUGUCAAUGAUGCCUACUUCAAUUUUAGGGCAUUUAAGUGCUAUGAUGGGGCCUCCAACAUAACCAGCGCCAAUACUUUACAAGACAUGUAUUGAUCUCUAAAGUCACUUCAUAUUUUAACCAGCAGAAAUUCAGAUAAGCAAUAGAAUCAGGGAGCUCUUUUAGAUCUAAACCAAUCACAUAGUUAAACAAUAAUUACAAUGUCACGGUUGGAACUCUCGUUUCUGCUUCGCCGAAACCGUGACUCGAUCAAUGUUUCAAUCCCAGCUGAAAUCAGCCGAAAUACCCCAACAAAGAAAAGAUAAAAGAGAAGGGGGAGGGAUUAAACGAUGUAAAAUAAGAAUAAGAGGAAGAAAACUGAAUUGAAUUGCUUCAAUUAACACUCAAUUUGGCAUAAAAUCACAUUACACAUGCUGGAUAAAUAUACACACAUUCGAAGUCGUGUUUUCACAAAAUGAACAGUAAAAGAACGAUUAUAACUUAACUAAAGAGUAGAAACUAGAAAUCAUAUAUGAAAACUUCAAAUCCCAAAAAAAAGCGUGUAACAAAAAUUAAAUGAACAGUGAAAAUUUUAAUAAACUUCUUGCCUUCUCCAAUGUUUAAUCAGUUUGAUGGUUCCAAAGUCAAACUUCUAAAAAGCAUUAACAACUAACAACCCACCGGCCCACUACAAAGAAAAAUCCAAGUCUGAAAUUCUAAAAUCCCAAGAAAAUCACUUGAUUCACCUGACGAGUCAAGCCUCACGGUCACGAACUCACGACGUCGACGGUGACUCGUGGUUGUGGUCCUUGUGGAGGAGAUUGGGAAGGAAGUGAGGAAUCGUGACCGUCG
rnacentral:lncRNA from 1 species